rnacentral:rRNA from 1 species
GAGUGAAGCGGAACAGCUCAAAUUUGAAAGCUAGCUCUUUUAGGGUUCGCAUUGUAAUUUGUAGAAGAUGCUUCGGGUGUGGCCCCGGUCUAAGUUCCUUGGAACAGGACGUCAUAGAGGGUGAGAAUCCCGUAUGUGACUGGGUGCUUUCGCUCAUGUGAAGCUCUUUCGACGAGUCGAGUUGUUUGGGAAUGCAGCUCAAAAUGGGUGGUAAAUUUCAUCUAAAGCUAAAUAUUGGCCAGAGACCGAUAGCGCACAAGUAGAGUGAUCGAAAGAUGAAAAGCACUUUGGAAAGAGAGUUAAACAGUACGUGAAAUUGUUGAAAGGGAAGCGCUUGCAACCAGACUUGCGCGCUGAUGAUCAUCCGGGCUUCUGCCCGGUGCACUCGUCUGCGCUCAGGCCAGCAUCGGUUUCGGUGGUGGGAUAAAGGCCUUGGGAAUGUAGCUUCUUUCGGGGAGUGUUAUAGCCCUCGGUGCAAUGCCGCCUACCGGGACCGAGGACCGCGCUUCGGCUAGGAUGCUGGCGUAAUGGUUGUAAGCGACCCGUCUUGAAACACGGACCAAGGAGUCUAACAUCUAUGCGAGUGUUUGGGUGUCAAACCCAUACGCGUAAUGAAAGUGAACGGAGGUGAGAACCCUUAAGGGUGCAUCAUCGACCGAUCCUGAUGUCUUUCGGAUGGAUUUGAGUAAGAGCAUAGCUGUUGGGACCCGAAAGAUGGUGAACUAUGCGUGAAUAGGGUGAAGCCAGAGGAAACUCUGGUGGAGGCUCGCAGCGGUUCUGACGUGCAAAUCGAUCGUCAAAUUUGCGUAUA